GCAGUGGUAGUUCAGUGGUGAAAUUCUUGCCUUUCACGCAGGAGGCCCAAGUUUGAUUCCCAGCCAGUGCA
rnacentral:tRNA from 1 species